UGGCCUUGCCUUUCCAUUAGGUCUUCAGGACCAAUAUCAGCAGCAAGUGUCAUGGUGAAGCAGGCAGCGGAAGUGCUAAUAGCGUGCUUCCCCAGUUUUGUCCAGGAUUCACCAGAGAUAGGUCUGAUCCAAAGAAUUUAGAUGCAAACCUAGAUUUCAAUGCACUUCUUGGAAAGACGGGGAUGUUGGAAUCCAAACUUUUUGUUUGUGCCCAUCUCUAAUCCAAAAUAUAAUGAUAAAGAUGCAGCAAGGAAGUUGGAAUCCUGCACAAGGCGCAGAAUCUCCUCUUUAGGCAGAGUAAUUCAUGAGGUCUGUGAGGUGUUUGGCAAGGAUGCCUGGGGACCAGAGUGUGGACAAGAGAUUAUUGGAAUGUAAGAAAGCCAUCAAUGCUCUGGUAUUAUCUCAUCAAUUAAAGAAAUAAAAUAAAUGAAUAGAAGAACAGUAUGAACAUCUUUAUUUCAAACCUGAAGUGUCUGCGUGUGAUUGUCUAUUGUAAGCUGGAGUGCUAAUAAAUGCAAGUAGAAGCUAAAAUACAUGUAUAGUGGUGCUGUUUAAAAUAAUCAUUGCUUGUGUGUGGGAUGUCUUG